GGUGAGCUGUGUGAAAAACGGCGAGGGUGUGUGCCCUGGGGAAAAGAAAUUGCAGCGCGUCUCCAUGGUAACGCGGUUUAAUGAAUCGUCUGGCAGCCGACAUACAGAGACAGACAGCCAUAUUGGUUGUGCGAAAGCUGUUGUUACUGCUUGCACCGAAACGUUUAAUGAAAAUGUUUCUCAUUAGUGUCUCUGUGCUCGUGUGUGUCUUGCCGUGUGCUGCUCGCUGGAAAAUGGAACGGAAAUGUAACACAUUUCUAAGUGAAUAGUGAGUUUUUGUAUACUUUUUUUUCUUCACUUUCUCGUGCUAAAUAAAGCAAUCUCUGAAGCAGAUCUGGCUGACGGUAAGGAUCGUGCCGCACGCUCGUUUAUCUUGUAAUGGGGGAGUGUGCUUAUUGCAUGUGAAUUCGGUAUAAGUCUUUGGCUUCGAGAUUGAACGGACAGGAAGUGGGGGCUUGUUUUUUUUAAAUUUUUUUGAAAGAGGUACGUAAAAAAAAAGCUUUUCCAAUAUCGAGUCCAGUGCACUUUCGUGACCGGUCCCGUGCAAUUGGAUGCUGACUUCAUGAUCUUCGUUUCCUCGAACGCGAUCCAAUAUCAAAAGGCGUCGUCGCGCGGGCAUGAUGCUCUUCUUUAGCAUGGUGCAUUGCCACUAAACUAUCUUCGGCCGAAUACCGAAAAUCCAAUAAACGUUCAAUAAAUUCCUUCUCACAUCGGUUGUGGAAUGUUGACACGCAGAGAAAAGCACCCACCCACAACACGCGCUUGGCGACGGAUUGCAAUUUAUCAUGCCGCGCCCGGCCCAGCCUGGGGAGAGGGAGUGUGCGCGUGAAGGUGGUGUUACCGGCGUUGGCUUGGAUUGCUUGGAUUUCGUCGUUCCUCGGCGAAAGCUGUCAAAUGUCAGGCCUCCGCCCCCUCCACGAAGUUAGGGUGACACGCGUAACAACGGACUCCUGCCAGGCCAGGGGCCGGUGCAUUCCUUCGCGAUGCAAACGAAGAUGGCACCCGGUGACAGUAGUUGGUGCAUUUCCCCAGUGUACAUGAACAGUAGGUGGCUUCGGGAAAAUUGCUCCUCUCUUCAGACAUGCUGGAUGCGCCAGCAUAUCAAAGACGAAUCGCAUCGUUCGAACGGCGAACCAAAUCAGGAAAAAUCAAUCUCCGAACUGAUCCAGCACGUGGAAUGCCCCCCUUUGCGUCGUCGCUCGUGAGAAAUUA